GACGAACGCUGGCGGCGUGCCUAAUACAUGCAAGUUGAGCGCUGAAGUUUGGUACUUGUACCUACUGGAUGAGCAGCGAACGGGUGAGUAACGCGUGGGGAAUCUGCCUUUGAGCGGGGGACAACAUUUGGAAACGAAUGCUAAUACCGCAUAAAAUCUUUAAACACAUGUUUUAAGUUUGAAAGAUGCCAUUGCAUCACUCAAAGAUUAUCCCGGGGUGUAUUAGGUAGUUGGUUAGGUAAAGGCUCACCAAGGCGAUGAUACAUAGCCGACCUGAGAGGGGGGUCGGCCAAAAUGGGACUGAGAAACGGCCCAAACUACUACGGGGGGGAGCAGGAGGGAAACUUCGGCAAAGGAGGAAAGUCUGAACGAGCAACGGCGGGGGAGGGAAGAAGGUUUUCGGAUCGGAAAAAUCUGUUGGUAGAGGAGAAAGUUGGGGAGAGUGGAAAGCGCAUAAAGUGACGGUAACUACCCAGAAAGGGACGGCUAACUACGUG
rnacentral:rRNA from 1 species